GUUCCUUGCUGUCAAUUGUGGUGAUGAAUCUGUUAUGCCUAUAUGUAAGCUUUUAUUUAUGGUUUUCUCUUCAUAUUUUGUACAUAUAAAAAGCAUUAUAUAUGAGAUAUUUACUUGUAUAUAGAUUCUGAUGAAUCCUGUGUAUUAGAGAUUCCCUAUGCUUAUGUACAAGCCACUUAUAAGAGGUUGGUAUCUUUAUUGUGAUCCGCUUGUAGCACUAGCAAAAAGCUUGUAUUGUGGCCAUUGACCCAAGC
rnacentral:misc_RNA from 1 species